rnacentral:rRNA from 1 species
CCUACGGGGGGCUGCAGUGGGGGAUAUUGCACAAUGGGGGAAACCCUGAUGCAGCGACGCCGCGUGUGGGAAGACGGUCCUCUGGAUUGUAAACCACUGUCCCCAGGGACGAAGAUGACGGUACCGGGGGAGGAAGCGCCGGCUAACUACGUGCCAGCAGCCGCGGUAAUACGUCGGGAGCGAGCGUGGUCCGGAAUUACUGGGUGUAAAGGGAGCGUAGGCGGGACUGCAAGUUGGGUGUCAAAUCUACCGGCUCAACCGGGAGCCGCACUCCAAACUGCAGUUCUUGAGUGAAGUAGAGGCAGGCGGCAUUCCUCGUGUAGCGGUUCAAUGCGUAGAUCUUAGGAGGCACCCCAGUGGCGAAGGCGGCCUGCUGGGCUUUUCCUGACGCUGAGGCUCGAAAGUGUGGGGAGCAAACAGGAUUAGAUACCCCUGUAGUC